UACGUAGGGUGCAAGCGUUAAUCGGAAUUACUGGGCGUAAAGCGUGCGCAGGCGGCUUUGCAAGCCAGAUGUGAAAUCCCCGGGCUCAACCUGGGAACUGCAUUUGUGACUGCAUGGCUGGAGUGCGGCAGAGGGGGAUGGAAUUCCGCGUGUAGCAGUGAAAUGCGUAGAUAUGCGGAGGAACACCGAUGGCGAAGGCAAUCCCCUGGGCCUGCACUGACGCUCAUGCACGAAAGCGUGGGGAGCAAACAGG
rnacentral:rRNA from 1 species